GAUGAACGCUAGCGGCAGGCCUAAUACAUGCAAGUCGAACGGGAUCCAGAUCAAAGCUUGCUUUGGUCUGGUGAGAGUGGCGCACGGGUGCGUAACGCGUGAGCAACCUACCCUUGUCAGGGGGAUAGCCCGGCGAAAGUCGGAUUAAUACCGCAUGGCAUCAUUGAGAGGCAUCUUUCGAUGAUCAAAGAUUUAUCGGACAAGGAUGGGCUCGCGUGACAUUAGCUAGUUGGUAAGGUAACGGCUUACCAAGGCUGCGACGUCUAGGGGCUCUGAGAGGAGAACUCCCCACAU
rnacentral:rRNA from 1 species